AAUGGGAGUAGGCUAAGGCAAUCGGCUGUGGCGGAUAAGCCACAGGUUCAAAUUGAAGGGAAUGAUCCAAGGAAGCUCUAUACACUUGUGAUGGUGGAUCCUGAUGCACCAAGUCCAAACAAUCCAACUGAUAGAGAGUAUCUGCACUGGUAAGCUAAAAAUUAUUUAUCCAAAAAUAAUAUCAUAUAUAUAUAUAUAUAUAUAUAUAUAUAUAUAUAUGAUUUUUGUUUGAUUUAUUCUUUUCAAGAAAAAUGUACUGAUAAAUGAUGUUUAUAUAUUGAAACAGAGAAAUAUAAUCCCCACAAAAUAUUUUUACCAAGACUACCUUCUUUAUUUCAUCUCUCUGGUUUAAGAAGCUAGCGGACAUGAAAUCUAGUUUUAUAUUAAAUUACUAAAAUCUUAUGCACCAUAUAUUGACACUCUUUAACCCAUUCUUAUUAUCUUAGGCAUGUCUAUCAAUCCACCAAAACAAAGUUCUUCUCAAUCAAGUAACUCAUUGGUCUCUUGGUAAUACUUUUUAGGUUGGUGACAGACAUCCCAGAAACUCUUGAUGCAAGUCAUGGUGGGUAAAACUUACUCUACUAAUCUCUUCCUAAAUGCAUAGUACUAUGACAUUCUCAAAUGACAUAAAUUUGGUUUUUGAUGUGUUUUUUAUAUGUAUAGUCCUCCACUCUUAUUUUCUAAUCACCCCAAAAUAAUGAUAAGGACAGUAACAUAUAAACUAUACAAAAUUCUGUAAGUAAAUUGGAACCAAACACUAUUUGAGUCAUUAAGUUACUUUGGCAAUAAGACCAAACUGGCAUAAUUGCUAACAUCUAGAAUUUGUCAUGUCAUUGUUGAUUCUGCACAGGUUUCUUCAGACUAAAGGGAAAAAUAAAAGAAACAUAAUACAUGAAUUGACCAUACCAGAAUUCUCUUAGCUAAUAUCAACUAUUUCUUUUCUAAUCCUAAUUAAUUAUUGGAGAAAUAUAACUCAUCGAUUUUACCUAGAAUGUGGAGUUCUACCACAAUUUCUUAUGACAACAUGUAUGCUUCAGUUAUUCAGAAAUUUGAACUAUCUAGAAAGUGGUUUCUAUGUUCCAUUUGCUUUUAUGUUCGAGCAAAUUAAAUAAUAUGCUUAUGUGAAUCCAAGAAAAAAAAACAUUUGGCCUACACAAAUAUUCUCAUUCUUGUUCAGGAACAAGUGGAUAAUACUGUCCUGUGUUAUUUAUGUAGGCCAGAAGAACACAUGAUGUUUGAAGUAAAUGGGUUUUUGUUUACCCCUUUCAGUGCUCCAUAGUUCUGCAGGAGGAGAUGCAUAUGUCAUGUGUGUUCAAUCCAUUUGCAGCAAACAUGAUGUGCAAUAUAUAUAUGAAUAUAUUGGAUACUUGGAGCAUAUAUACAUGCAUAACUGGAGAAAGAAAUGAGGUUGCCAUGCUCCUUUACAAAGAGGAGAUUGCACCUCAUUCUUCUUCCUACAAGUGGUAGCACAAAUACGUAUGCUGCACACGUACUCGUGUACUGUUGUGCAAGCUACAGUGCUUCUUAGAAAGCCUGGUCAAGCUCUCUGCACGCAUGCACGAGUACGUCGACUCAAAUGGCAUCGAUAUACUGCUGCUGCUACUACUACGUAGUGGACAAGAGAGAAGGGCGGGUGAUGGCCCCACCUCCAACAAGUGUUCUUUCUUUUCUCCUGCAGGCCCCACUUCCCUGCGUCAGUCGGCGUGGCAAGGCUCCGACCGGAAAUCGAGCUCGAUGGACGGCUGUUAUCCUCCCCCCCCCACCAGCUCCCGGUGAUCAACGCUUGACUUGACGCCUUUGUGGUUUGUGCGGGCCCACAAGAGAACCAUGGUCGGCCUCUAUUUUCAUGAUCUUUCCAUCAAGCACUCACACACCUAAAUGUUCUUUUGACUAAGAUGAAGCAGCAAUAUUAUAUACAGGCAGGCAUGCAGGCACGUCGAGGAGACACUUCAAAUGCACUUGAGAUGGCUGUUGAUACAUAUAUAUAUAUAUGCGAAUGUUCUCUCUUCUCAUGCAAACUAGAUCAUAGUGAUGUUAGGAAACUUAGUCACUCAUGUUAUCUGCAAAUUGAAUUUUUCUAUAUUUUGCCUCUCAUAGCAACAUAUAUACACAAUUGCAUCACCAAAUUCUUCCAUGCAUGGAAAUAUAUGACUGUGUUAACUUUCUCUAUCAUAUUAGUGAAGCUACUGUAUACUAUUGGAAAUGAAAUUUUGGUCCUCUCAGUAGCUAACAUCUGAGAUAUACACAUAUAUAUACAUCUGAUACUGGGAGGGGGAUUCCCAGGAUCAGUUCACUGGGUCAUGAUGCCUGUAUAAUUGUAAUCAUCCUUUGACGCAUGUCAUUUAAUAUUGUGAUAUAGUAUAUGAAAUCUUGGUUCUCUGCCAUGUGCUACUGGGAGAAGGAUUCCCAGGAUUGAAUUGACUGUGGAGAACUCAGAAGUGGAUCAACAUCCUCCUCCAUCAAUGGAUUCAAUUCCCUAAAGGUGCAUGUGAAGUUGAAUGCAUAAAAUCUGACAAGAAACCGGGAACGUUGUUUCAGGAAACGAGAUAGUGAGCUAUGAAAGCCCACGGCCACAAGCCGGAAUUCACCGUAUCGCACUUGUCCUCUUCCGUCAGCAAGUCCAGCAGACUGUGCAUGCGCCUGGGUGGCGUCAAAACUUCAGCACGAGAGACUUCUCUGCCUUCCAUAACCUUGGACUCCCUGCUGCUGCUACCUUCUUUAAUUGCCAACGAGAGACUGGUUGUGGAGGAAGAAGGUUCUAAGGAAGGGGUUAACAAUUUCUUGAGCAAAGGGAGUUCUCAACUAUGCAUGCAGGCUAUCAUAGAUGGAAGCUUGAAGACUCUCCAAUCUACAUCUAAUUGAACUUUUGUUAGAUAAAUUUGUCAUAGUUUCUUUUACCUUAUUUAUGAUGCCUCAAUCUUGAAGAUUCCAUUUGGGGUCUUUAGUAUGUUUUUCUUUGCUAUAUAAUAAAUAAUUAAACUAUAUGGUUUCAAUG